rnacentral:tRNA from 1 species
GGCCGGGAUAGCUCAGUUGGUAGAGCAGAGGACUG